ACUGGGAUAACUUCGGGAAACCGGAGCUAAUACCGGAUACGUUCUUUUCUCGCAUGAGAGAAGAUGGAAAGACGGUUUACGCUGUCACUUAUAGAUGGGCCCGCGGCGCAUUAGCUAGUUGGUGAGGUAAUGGCUCACCAAGGCGACGAUGCGUAGCCGACCUGAGAGGGUGAUCGGCCACACUGGGACUGAGACACGGCCCAGACUCCUACGGGAGGCAGCAGUAGGGAAUCUUCCGCAAUGGACGAAAGUCUGACGGAGCAACGCCGCGUGAACGAAGAAGGCCUUCGGGUCGUAAAGUUCUGUUGUUAGGGAAGAACAAGUACCAGAGUAACUGCUGGUACCUUGACGGUACCUAACCAGAAAGCCACGGCUAACUACGUGCCAGCAGCCGCGGUAAUACGUAGGUGGCAAGCGUUGUCCGGAAUUAUUGGGCGUAAAGCGCGCGCAGGUGGUUCCUUAAGUCUGAUGUGAAAGCCCACGGCUCAACCGUGGAGGGU
rnacentral:rRNA from 2 species